CCUACGGGAGGCAGCAGUGGGGAAUAUUGGACAAUGGGGGCAACCCUGAUCCAGCCAUGCCGCGUGUGUGAAGAAGGCCCUCGGGUUGUAAAGCACUUUCAGUGAGGAAGAACGCCUGGUGGUUAAUACCCAUCAGGAAAGACAUCACUCACAGAAGAGGCACCGGCUAACUCCGUGCCAGCAGCCGCGGUAAUACGGAGGGUGCGAGCGUUAAUCGGAAUUACUGGGCGUAAAGCGCGCGUAGGUGGCUUGAUAAGCCGGUUGUGAAAGCCCCGGGCUCAACCUGGGAACGGCAUCCGGAACUGUCAAGCUAGAGUGCAGGAGAGGAAGGUAGAAUUCCCGGUGUAGCGGUGAAAUGCGUAGAGAUCGGGAGGAAUACCAGUGGCGAAGGCGGCCUUCUGGACUGACACUGACACUGAGGUGCGAAAGCGUGGGUAGCAAACAGGAUUAGAUACCCCUGUAGUC
rnacentral:rRNA from 1 species